UUUCAGAUUAGAUUAUUUUCCUAGUUGAUUAUGGGCCGCCUCACUGUGGCUUAGAGUCGUGCGCGUUACUUUUCAAGAUGCCGGACGUUUUCAUUGGCUGAAGAAAAUACUUCUUCUGUUCCGUAGAACAAGUAUGAACACUCAGUAGAUGUGAAAAGUAAGCUAUGUAUUGGAUUAACUGAACUGGGCACACAUGGAUCGCAUUUAGCAGAAGGUAAUCAAUACAAUAUUGUAAAAUUUGUGCAUAUGCAAAUACAUCUUAAAAUUGCCUAUAAAAACAAAGAAGUUUUUGUUUUUCUAUUAAUAAAUGGUAUAAUAAAACUUGCCGUAGGAAACAUUUUUUUAAGAAAAA